rnacentral:lncRNA from 10 species
GCUGGAGCAAGAUGGCAGAAUUAAGAGGCUCUAUCAAUUGUCCUCCCUGCAGGAAGACCAAACUUGACAUCUAUCUACACAAAAAAAGGAAACUUCAUAAGUACCAAAAAUUAGUUACAAUGGAAGAUGUGUUCUUUCCCCUAUCCAAAUUAAAUCGCUUCAUCCUGAAAGUCAUAUAUCCUCAACAUCUUCUCAAUGACUGGUUAAAGCAAAAUAAAUACGGCCUGUGAAGGACUCCAUACUUCUAUAUUUGAGUCUUUGUGGAUGAACUAUAACUUAGCUUUAGGUAGACAAGACAGAAAACCUAACCUAGGAGUAGGCGUCUGUAACAGUUGCUGAGUUUGGGCCAAUCCCAGCAGCCAUACUUCCCCCAUUCAUAGACUGAGUUUAAAUAAGGCAAACGUCAACCUGUGACCAAUCCAGCUGUUUCUGUACUUCAUUGCCGAUUUCUGUAUAUCACUUCCCUUUUUGUGCCUAUAAAUUUGUUCUGACCAUGAGACAUCCCUGGAAUCUCUCUGAAUCUGCAGGGAUUCUGGCAUCUGCUCAAUUCGCGAUUUUUUCAUUGUGCAAUUAAACU